GAUCUACUUCCUCCGUUCGGAAAUACUUGUCAUCAAAAUGAAUAAAAAAUGAUGUAUCUAGAUGUAUAUUAGUUCUAGAUACAUUUUUUUGUCCAUUUUGAUGACAAGUAUUUUCGGACGAAGGGAGUACGUG
rnacentral:pre_miRNA from 1 species